UUGGAAGUAAAAGUCGUAACAAGGUCUCCGUUGGUGAACCAGCGGAGGGAUCAUUACCGAGUUUACAACUCCCAAACCCAAUGUGAACGUUACCAAACUGUUGCCUCGGCGGGGUCACGCCCCGGGUGCGUCGCAGCCCCGGAACCAGGCGCCCGCCGGAGGAACCAACCAAACUCUUUCUGUAGUCCCCUCGCGGACGUAUUUCUUACAGCUCUGAGCAAAAAUUCAAAAUGAAUCAAAACUUUCAACAACGGAUCUCUUGGUUCUGGCAUCGAUGAAGAACGCAGCGAAAUGCGAUAAGUAAUGUGAAUUGCAGAAUUCAGUGAAUCAUCGAAUCUUUGAACGCACAUUGCGCCCGCCAGUAUUCUGGCGGGCAUGCCUGUCCGAGCGUCAUUUCAACCCUCGAACCCCUCCGGGGGAUCGGCGUUGGGGAUCGGGACCCCUCACACGGGUGCCGGCCCCGAAAUACAGUGGCGGUCUCGCCGCAGCCUCUCCUGCGCAGUAGUUUGCACAACUCGCACCGGGAGCGCGGCGCGUCCACGUCCGUAAAACACCCAACUUUCUGAAAUGUUGACCUCGGAUCAGGUAGGAAUACCCGCUGAACUUAAGCAUAUCAAUAAGCGGAGG
rnacentral:rRNA from 1 species